GAAGUUCGAGACCACCAAGUACUACUGCACUGUCAUUGAUGCCCCUGGACAUCGUGACUUUAUCAAGAACAUGAUUACUGGUACCUCUCAGGCUGACUGUGCUGUCCUUAUCAUUGACUCCACCACUGGAGGUUUUGAAGCUGGUAUUUCUAAGGAUGGACAGACCCGUGAGCAUGCUCUCCUUGCCUUCACUCUUGGUGUGAGGCAAAUGAUUUGCUGUUGCAACAAGGUAAGUUAUUGCAUUCAUAAUUUGAAGUUAAAGUAGUUUCUAAUCGGUUUGUCUAGUGAUAAUGUAAUGCAUUUGUAGCUAAUAUAUAUCUAUUUCCUCGACAGAUGGAUGCCACAACCCCCAAAUACUCAAAGGCAAGGUAUGAUGAAAUUGUGAAGGAAGUUUCUUCAUACUUGAAGAAGGUUGGAUACAACCCUGACAAGAUUCCCUUUGUCCCCAUUUCUGGUUUUGAGGGUGACAACAUGAUUGAGAGGUCCACCAACCUUGACUGGUACAAGGGUCCAACUCUUCUUGAGGCUCUUGACCAGAUUAAUGAGCCCAAGAGACCCUCUGACAAGCCCCUCCGUCUCCCACUUCAGGAUGUGUACAAGAUUGGAGGUAUUGGAACUGUCCCAGUGGGUCGUGUUGAAACCGGUAUGCUCA
rnacentral:lncRNA from 1 species